CCUUACAGUAUUAUAUUAGUUUCAGAUGUACAUAGAUUCUUUAUUGAUUUGUUUCACUAUAACAUUUCUUGUUUCAGGACAUUUUGAUUUUCCAAGGUCAUGUGUAACUUCUAAAUUUUUUAAAUUGACUUAAGUGUUGUUUGCUUUUUUCCCCUUAAAUUUUCAAAAGAUUUUUGGUCUUAUUUCAUUAAGCUAUAAGUUUUAAUUACUUCUGAGUAAUAAUUUGCUCUUGAUUCAUUUUCAUGUAUGUGUCAGAAGGACACAUGAUUUCUGUCAGAAGGAUUUAUCAGUUAAUUAUGUUUAACUUAUAGUCUUUAUAUAAAAUAAAUGUUUUUACUAUAGAGUUUAAAAGACUGAGCUUUUUUUAGAGAGAGAGCUCAUGGGUGGGACGGAGGGGAGAGGGAGAAGGAGAAGGAGAGAGAGAAUCUUAAGCAGGCUCCACACUCAGCAUGGAGCCCGACGUGGGGCUUGACCUCACGACCCUGAGAUCAUCACCCCAGCUGAAAUCAAGGGCUGGAUGCUUAACCAACUGAGCCACCCAGGCUUUCUGAUUUUUUAAUAAAUAAUGAGUCCCUCAAUUAUUGUAUAUGAAGUACUAUAAGGAAUAAGAAGACAUUUAAGACAAAGGCCCUACUCUCACAGAUUUUUUAGUUCAGUUCGGGAUGGAGUGGGGGUAGAGAGCAGGGAGGUUAAGCUAUAUCUGACAGGGAAACUACCUACUACAUACAUCAGUUUGUGCUAAGUUUUUGUGAACUGCACAGAUCUUUGAAUUGAAUGAUCUGAAAGACUUUGCAGAAGACCUAGGUCUUAAAAAUACCAUUAGGUAUUAAAGAUAAGGAAGGAGGAGUAUGAAUAUGAAAACCAAAAGAAAAAGCCACAGAGAAGAGAAAGUAGGAGGAGGUUCAUAUUGGAAAAAUGGUAUAUACAAUUGAUUCUCAUUAUUUGAAGUAGUUAAUGUUAUGUUAGGUUGGGAACACUCCAUUAGUGAAUAUCGCACCAUUGCUCCUAGGGGAAGUACAGGGUUAGGUUCCUGUGAGCCUUCGGUCACAACUUUUUUGUCAACCAGCUUUUAUCUAAUGUUGUUUUAUGUGUUUCUGUUGAAAGACACCAUAGUUAAUAAGUGUUGAUUCAUUAACAUUGAACUCAUGCCUAAUCAAAGCUAACAUGUAUUUUCUCCAUGAACACAUCAUAGUUUUGUGCACUUAGGAACACUACCCAACACUUCAGUACUAUGGUUGGGGCCAUCUUAAUAAUGGCAAAAUCACCAACAAAGGGUACAAAAAUGUGGCACUAAGUUGACCACAAUAAGGACACUUGUUUACAGUAUGAGUUGAAACAAGAAGGCCAGAAUGUCAUCUUGUUUGACACCAGCUGGAAACAAGCAUGUUGGGCAACUCACAUUUUUUGCUCUCCUCUGCGGGUCCACAGAGGAACACAAAAGCUCUGUGAGUAUUGGUUUGAGGUUACAAAUACAUUUUAGUGAGUAGGCACAUCCACAAAUAUGGAAUCUAGAAAUAAUGAGGAACAACUAUAGUUGUGUUUUAGAUUACAGAGCACAUGGAAAUAGAAUUUAUCCAUCAUAGAUGUGAUAAGUGCAGUGACACAUUAUGUUCUUUAAAAAAAAAUAGAGGAAGUUUCAAAAAAGUAGAGGAAGUUUCAAUAUUAGUUUUGUUCUGUCAGUUAACUUACUCUUGAUGGAUCGUUGUUAUUUUACAGUGAAAAAUACACAGGUAAGGGCAAAAACUUUUGUUUUCCUUUUUUCUUUCACAAAUGGACAGAACUAAACAUCUAAUUUAGGAAAAGAUCAUAUGUGAUGAUCACAUACUUGAGAUGGUAACCUUUCAGUGAUGUGAAGGGGACAAUUACUUAUUUUGCAAUUUUUUUUGCAGGUGGUAGGCAGGAAAAGGUACCGAAUAUGGGCCUGCCAUAUAGAGAUACGUGACCUGGGAUUUUCACUUAAUCUUUUUAGAAAUGUAUUAAUUCAGCAAAUAUUUGUUUAGACCCUGUAGGUAGGAAGUAUAGCAAAUGAGGGGAUGAAGUGGAAAGCAAAACCAGGCAAGGGUUUAAACUGUAUAGUCUGUUUCAGAUUUUAUUUAUUUGUUUGAGAGAGAGAGAGAGAGUGGGAGGAGGAGCAGAGGGAAAAGGACAAGGAGACUCCAUGCUGAGCUUGGAGUCCAAUGCGGGGCUCAGUCCCAGGACCCUGAUGAGAUCAUGACCUGACUUAAAAUUGAGAGUUGGAUGCUUAACCAGCUGAACCACCCAGGCGCCCCAUAUGGUCUAUUUCAAAAACAGCCCAUUUGAGAGGUAAUUUAGUGUGGUGAUUAGGAACAUACGUUCUGGACCAGAUUACUUGAGUUCAAAUCUCACUUCUAUUCAUUAGCUUUGUGACUUUUGGUGAGUUAUUUUGCCCUUCUGUGCCUUCAUUCUCCAUUUUUAAUAUAGGGAAAAUGGUGGCACCUAGCACGUGAAAGAUUUGUCAGGUUUAAGUAAAUGUCUUUUAACUUUAAAUGUUAUUACAUGUAAAGUGCUUAGAACAGUGGCACAUAAGACUAUAUAGGCAUUUACUGCUUUAUUAUUAUCAUUAUUAUCAUUGUUAUUAGUAUUUAUUGCAUCAAUACUGUAAGUUGCAAGUGAAGUAAUAUAAUUUACAUCAAUAAAUAAGGAAUUUCAUCUAUAGUGAGUAGGAUUUAACAGGGGUAUCUAUUCUAAUCAGGGUGUCGGGGAUGACUUCCCUAGGAAAAUGGUGAAAUCUGAAGUGUUGAUAGUGAAAACAAAUGGAGAGGAGCAGUCCAAGUUUGAAACAGCAUAUGCAAAGGUCCUGUGGCAAGAGAAAGUAUGGCACAUUUAAGGAAGUGAAAGAUCAGUGUGGCUGGAGGGAAGUGGUGCACCAUGACUAGCUUGUUAGGCAGAGUUCAUUGGUGUUUAGUCUCAUAGUGAAGUAUGGAUUUUGGCUUUUGAUACUAAGAACAAUGGAAAGUCACUUCAGAGGUAUAUGUGGGCUGGAGGGGGUGGGGGAAAUCUAGUGUUAUACCUAAAGGCUAUUUUGGCUGUAGCAUUGUAUACAGAAUGAGAAAAGACUGCUUGGUAUCUUUGAAACUGAUGUGUUUUAUAUUGUAUGGCGUCUUUUAAUACUGAACUGUAUAUAAUACAUAAAUUUUAUAUAUAAUAUGUAUAAAAUAUUUUGGCCAUACUAGAUAGCAUUUCUCUUAAUGAAAUAACUUGUGAAUAUAAAAUGUAAGAAUUCUUUUCACAUAUUUUUGCAAAACUUUGUUCUGUUCAUUUCUUUUAACCAUGGUUUAAAAUAUGUUAAUGGAUUAAAUGUGUAUGCUUUGUAUCCUUUUUAAUUUAGACCUCAAAAGCUUAAUGAAAAAUUUUAUAAAAUUUAAAUUGUAAUUCUUUUCAAUUUAGACAUUACCUGCUUGCCACAAUGUAGGCAAAUGUAGUUUUCCCAUUUGAAUAGCAAUGGAUUUUUUGUUGACAAUGUUUUUUAAUUACUUUUUUUUUUUUGCCUACUGUUCAUAUGAGUUUUUGCACCCUGGUCUUUAUUACAUAAAUGUUAAGCAGAUGGUUUCCAAGUGAGUAUUUCAUUUUUUUCUAGAAUACUUAACACUCUUAUGUUUGAUUAUGGCAGUAUGUAUAUCUUUAGAAAGGCUAUAUCUAAUUUGAUAUGUUCUCUUUGGACUUAUUUCAUAGUAAAAAUGUCACAUUUAUGUAGCCAAAAUGAAUCUUUUCAUAU